AACAGUGAUUCCAGAAACCUAUUAGCUCUAAUGUAUCACGCAAAAAAAAGAGGUGGAAAAGAAGGAAAUACAGGCUAAAAUGAAAUAAUCCUCACGAAUAAGAUAGAACAUGACUUGGACGUAAGAAAUGUGAUAAUAAAAAAAGUGUCGACUGAAAACGUAUAUAUAUAAAGCAUCGAAGGUUGCAGUAGAGACGAGAGGAAUAAGGAUUCCGAUGCAGCAAUGAGAUCUCCAGGCUACUACGUAGGAUUCGUUUUCCUUCUUCUGGCACUUCCUCCAGUUAAAACUGGUUUAGGAGGAGGGGGGUUAGGAGGAAAAGGUGGAGGAGGCCUGGGACUUGGUCUGCUACUUGGUGGAUUAGCAGGAUUAGGUGGAGGGAAAGGUGGUGGUGGUGGAGGUGGAAUCAUUCCCAUUCCCCUACCCAUCCCCUUACCUAUUCCCAUUCCUAUAUCGUCCAGCUCAGGAGAACCUUCUUAUUCUGAACCGGUACACAUGCCUAUGUAUACCCAUAGUGGUUACGGUGGGGGUGGAUAUGGUUGGGGUGGAUUUGGAGGUGGUUUUCAUUAGUAACAUGGCGAUAAAGAUAUAACCUUGGACUAAAUAUGCACGAUCUUUGGUGACAACGACCUUAUGCCUAGCGUUACAGUGUAAGUAAACAUCCAGCACGUACGUGUACUAUACGUCAAUGUAACUCUUUCUGUGUGUUUUCAGAGAUGCUUUAUAAAGCAUGUUUAAUGAACAGUUCGUGAAUGUGGUAAUAUAACUUGAACAUAGAAACAUUGUUGAUGUGUGUAAUAAAAUUAGGAGAAGCCUAAUAACUUUUCACAUAUUUGAAUUAUGUUGUUUUUCAGUCAAUUUUCACAAACUAUUCAUUUGUAUGUACACACACAUAUCCUGAGGCCGAUAAUUUCAUUUUUUUCUGAUUUCUGUCGAACACAUUCUUAAAGGACUACUAUCAACACUGACCUUACUAAUGUGAGUCAGACAGAUUUUUAAAGGACUACUAUCAACACUGACCUUACUAAUAUCGGACUAAUGUGAGACAGUGAUCUCGCUAACAGUGUGGUAAAGUAAGUAUUGAAAUAAGCCUAUCGUAACAACAGUACCGUACUAACAAUAGUAGUAUUGUAACAACAGUACCGUACUAACAAUAGUAGUAUUGUAACAACAGUACCGUACUAACAAUAGUAGUAUUGUAACAACAGUACCGUACUAACAAUAGUAGUAUUGUAACAACAGUACCGUACUAACAAUAGUAGUAUUGUAACAACAGUACCGUACUAACAAUAGUAGUAUUCGUAACAACAGUACCGUACUAACAAUAGUAGUAUUGUAACAACAGUACCGUACUAACAAUAGUAGUAUUGUAACAACACUACCGUACUAACAAUAGUAUUUUAUUAGUGUAGUAUAGUAUUAGUGUUCGGUUCAUGUUUAGUUUUAGCUGCUUUCUCAUUACUCUUCUUAUUUAAACGUGACUUUGAAAUACAAUGAUAAUUAUUAUUAGUAUUCAGUUUGACGACGAUUUUUAAUUGCAACUUUGUGUAUUUUAUGUUUACCUUUUAUCAAGAUCUCUCUUUGCUUAUCAGAAG
rnacentral:misc_RNA from 1 species